AUACGGAGGGGGCUAGCGUUGUUCGGAUUUACUGGGCGUAAAGCGCGCGUAGGUGGUAUAUCAAGUUAGGCGUGAAAGCCCCGGGCUCAACCCGGGAACUGCGCUUAUUACUGAUAAACUAGAGUCCGAGAGAGGGUGGCGGAAUUCCCAGUGUAGAGGUGAAAUUCGUAGAUAUUGGGAAGAACACCAGUUGCGAAGGCGGCCACCUGGACCGGUACUGACGCUGAGGUGCGAAAGCGUGGGGAGCAAACAGAAUUAGAAACCCGGGUAGUCC
rnacentral:rRNA from 1 species